rnacentral:lncRNA from 1 species
CACACAAAGGACGCAGGAAGAACAGGUGCGCACAAAGGCACAAUGGCGGCAGAUCUGCCCGUGGAUCACUGAAGAUUCCUGCUCUCCUGCUGAGGUGGAGAUUGCAGUGAACUAAGAUCACACCAUUGCGCUAGAGCCCGGGCGACAGAGCAAGACUUGGUCUCAAAAAAUAAAUAAAAUAAAAUAAGUACAAUAAAAUAACAAAACAAAACAAAGUAAGAGGAGAUGAUAUCUGGUCGUGUUUUAUGGCCAUCUGGUUUACAGAUCUGGGACUGAAACCCGCACAAGGAUAAAUGGCUGCCUCAAGGCUAUCUUCAGGCCCAUUCUGAAAGAAAAAGGAAGUUCUCGUCGCAGAAAGAAAAUAAUACCAAAGGGAAACAAAAUUUCAAGAAGGAAUAAAGAACAGUGGAAGAGUAAAUAUGAAGACCAAGAGCAGUGAUGACCUUUUAGCUGGAAUGGCCAGAGGGGUAACGGUGACUAAUGGUGUUAAAGGGAAGGAAAGCUCCUGCCCAUCUGCAGCACCUUCGGCAUCUGCCCCUGCCAUGACCACUGUGGAGAACAAAUCCAAGAUUAGCACAGGAAAUUGUAGACAUACAAAAGUAGAUGGAUUGAUAUUUCAGCCCAAUACGCUCAUCACGCUCAUCACCAUUAUCAGCUCACAGCCAGUUGUAACUCUGUGAUACCCACCCUCCCCUCUUAUUAUUUUGAAGCAGAUUCUGGACAUCAUAUCAUUUCAUCCAUAAAUAUUUUAUUAUCUUGGAAAGAGAA